rnacentral:rRNA from 1 species
UACGGGGGGGGCAAGCGUUGUUCGGAAUUACUGGGCGUAAAGGGCUCGUAGGUGGCCAACUAAGUCGGACGUGAAAUCCCCAGGCUCAACCUGGGAACUGCAUCCGAUACUGGAUGGCUUGAAUUCGGGAGAGGGAUGCAGAAUUCCAGGUGUAGCGGUGAAAUGCGUAGAUAUCUGGAGGAAUACCGGUGGCGAAGGCGGCAUCCUGGACCGACAUUGACGCUGAUGAGCGAAAGCUAGGGGAGCAAACGGG